GAGCUCCGACUGGUCCAUAUAAUGUUUUCCCAGGUAUCUGGUGGUUUACUAUGCCAGGUCAUUAGGUACCAGAAUGAACAUGCUCUAGAAUUCAAAGUCUCUUGGACUUGGGUUCCUAGUUGUUCUGAGCAUCAUAGUCAGCUGGGGGAUUUAUUAGCAAGCCAAUAUUUUAAGCUUCAUUUGUGAAACUCUCCUUCACAGAAUCCAGAGCACAGUCUGUGCAUCUCACUGUUGUACAUGAAGCAUCCCCGGUGAAUGCAGGUUCACAGGACACUUCCAAUGGGCCCAAUAGAUCAGACUCGGUGACAAGAAGGACAGGGAUCUUGCUCUUAUGGAACCCAUGCUUGGAGAGAAAAACUCAUAAAGUCAGUAAACACAUAAGGUAUAAGUCACAAGGAUUGUAGGUACCAGGGGCUGUCUCAGUGGUCAGAAGAUUCCAUGUACCCUCUGUACUGCACUAGAAACUUUUCAAUUGGCCUGGUGCAUCAGAGACUCCUUAAUUCCUGUGCUUGGGAAGCUAGAAAGGACCUUAGCCGUGAUAAUCAGCUUCCUUAUCUUAUGUUGAGACUAUUCUAAAUAUACCUUUGCCUGUAAUUUCCCCUUUGCUUAUUUUCCUUCACUAUAUUGUCUCCACUCUUCCUGGUCAGUUUCUCCUGGAAGCAUGUGAUUCAUUUAAUCCAUCACCUUAUCCCACGUCUCUAUACUAGAACUCUGCCAAAGAUGGCCAUACCCAAGCAAACUGGACCAAGUGCACAAAACAAAGGAAAAGAUAUUAGAAAGAUGGCAUUGCAGCCAAGUCCUGGGGAAUGACUCAUGCCACCAGGAAGGAAUACUAGAGGGCUCUAGAUUUCUCACACCCUAAGUUUCAUCUUCUCAAGGCCAAAACUGGAAAGUACUUCCCAAGGCAGGUGAAUGGAUUAGCAGGUAGAUGAGUGGAGAGAUGGAUGCCUGGGUAUUUGGAUAAAUAGGUGUAUAGAUGGGUGAAUGAGGGGAUGGAUGAGUAGGUGGGCAGAUGGGAGGGAGGAUGGUUGAGUCGGUUGAUGGAUGGUUGUGUGGAUAGGUGAAUGAGUGGAUUGGUAAAUAGGUAGAUGGAUUGGUAGGUGGAUUAUUAGAUGAGCAACACCUUGAAGAGUUUCUCUACAAAUGUUACUAAUACAGUCAAGCUGUGAGUGUAUUAGGAAUUUUGACUCACAGAAAUUUAAAUUUAUAGCAUAAUACUGACUUUGUAAAAUGCAUCAUUGGUAUAAUUUGUUACUAUUUCAUUAUAUUAUCCAACAAGUAAUUAUUUUACAUAGUUCCAGCAGGCAGUAAAGUAAAAAAUGUUGAAUUCCUUUCUUUAAAAUACACAAGGUGGCAUUCUUACGAGAUUGCAUGAAAUAAAUGGCGAGUCUCAGGUUCCAGCCAAUUUGUGUUUUCUGUGAACAGCAUGGAGAGGCCAACAAACCAGGAUGAUUUUGGAAGCUUCUAGAAUGUACCAAUGAGAAGUUCUGGAAACCUCCUAGGGAUGAAUGAUGCAGUUUGAGCACUCUCCACACCUUGUGUAGUUAAUUGACUCCAAGUCGAGGGCAAUCUCAGGAGGGCAAUUGAUGGCAGUAAUUCUGCUCACUUCCAACCCUCAGGUCUGAUAAGCCAGGAGAAAUAUUCCUGUGUGAAUGCAUUCACGAGAAAGCUAAUAGAUGCACUGAGGUUGGGGUUGAACAGUCCACAGUAAAAGGCUCACAAGAAAGCUUGGGCAGGAUCAAGGAGCCUAGAAGAGUGAAAAUGUGCCCCAAACACUAAGAGUAAUGGUCAUCCAUGAAGAUCUAGAGGGGAAAUUGAAGAGCUUUAAAGGGGACUUUUUCUCAACUUCACACUCCUCCGGAGAGCCCCCCAAAGAGAAGAUUUCUAAUUGAAAUUCCAUUUUCCUCUUAUGAACAUUGCUUCUUUUUAAUAUUUUCCCCUUUAUGCCAGUUGCUAACUUUCAUUUAGCUUCAUCAAAGGACAUUGUCCUAUAUUUACUCCAAUGCAGAAGCCGAGAUUCUGCUAUGAAGCAAGCCAGCCAAGGCCACACAGCCAGUAUAUGCUCAGACUGAGCCGAGGGAGGAACCAUCUCUUGGUCUGUAGCUUCUCCUUCAACUUACUGAUCUAUUCCUUCUGAAAAGGACUUGUCUCAUGCAGGAACAUCUUUAAGACGUUUUACUGAGACGAAGUACAGAAAACAUACACUAGUAAUAUGCAAUUUGGAUGCAUUUUCACAUCCUGCAUGUAUUUCAAGAAAGUUAUUAACAUAGCAGCACAGGGAAGCCUGCUGGUGGCCCCUGUGAACACUACCCUGAGGGUGGCCUCUGUCCCUGUUUCUAGCAGUCUGUUAACUUUUCCUGCUUUUAACAAUCAUGUAGGUGCAAUCUGGAAAGCUCCAUCACUGGGCAUGGCUCCUUUUGCUUUUUUUAUUCUUUGUGAGAUUCUUGCAUGUCCUUGCAUGUGUCUAUGAGUUAUUCAUUCUUAUUGCUGCUAGAAUUCUAUUAUGUGAGAAUACCACAAUUUGUUAUUCAUUUUAUGUUGACAAGUACUCGGGUUGUGUCUAGCUUAGGGCCAUUACAGAUUGACUGAGAUCAUGGGGGAUGUAUACAUCUCCAUUAGAUGUGGACUAACAGACUCCCAGAUCAGCCGGACCAGUCUUUUCCCUCUAGCAAUACAUGGCCAUUCCCCAGUG